GACGAACGCUGGCGGCGUGCUUAACACAUGCAAGUCGAACGGACAGGCGCUGCUCUUGUGGGGUGCUCGAGUGGCGAAGGGGUGAGUAACACGUGAGUAACAUCCACCUAACAUUGUGAUAACAUCUGGGGACAGGGGCUAAAAUCGGAGAGAAGCUUCUGAUGCAUGGUGGUCGAUAGAAAGAGACGGCUGUUGGGGAUGGAAUCGCUGGUUAUCCGCUUGUUUGUGGGGUAGGGGCGUACCAAGGCUGUGAAGGAUAGCCGGCCUGGGAGGGUGAACGGCCACAUUGGGACUGAGAUAGGGCCCAGACUGCUACGGGAGGCAGCAGUGGGGAAUAUUGCACAAUGAGCGGAAGCCUGAUGCAGCGACGCCGCGUGCGGGAUGACGGCCUUCGGGUUGUAAACCGCUGUCGCCGGUGACGAAGCGUGAGUGACGGUAAUUGGUAAAGAAGCACCGGCUAACUACGUG
rnacentral:rRNA from 1 species